CUUGGCCUCCAGCCCGUGCUUUUCCCGCAAAAAGCCGGCUUUUGGUCCUGUAGCUACUGCAACACGAGUGAACCGCUUCGCAAGGAGGGCUGCCUCUGUCUCAUGUCCUCUCUGACUGUUUAUUAAAGCUAAAAACACCAAACUGGGUUAUUCAGGUGUUUUCCUUGAGCUUUUUUUUCGCUCAAAGCCAAAACUGCUUCGAGCCCUAGAAACCUACACUGGAUUUAAUCCACAAACGUGACGGUGGUGGGGAAAAUGAAUCACGAUGUCUCUGGAGUGCUGGACUGCUCCCCGGGGCUUCAGCCGAAGCAGGGAAAUGAGGUGCUCCAGCUGGUCCCACCUUGGCCAUCUGGAUCCUUUCGGAGCAGGGAUUAUGCUGGGCGACUGUGGAGCGCGGCGGGAUGAGCCGACUGUCGCUGCGGUUCAGCCCUCCCGGCCCCGAGGCAGCGCCGGGCGCCACUGCCACGUUUUCAGGAGGGAAUUUCUCCGAAACGGGAAUGAGAGAGACUCCGCUUUCACUCAAAUCCCCUUCGUUUUCCUGCGAAUCGCUGCUGAAGGAGUUGCCCUGCCGAGCUGCGCUGCUGAGAGCCUAGGCAGCGCUUUUCGCUUUUCUUUCUGGGCCAAUAUCCUUGUUUGCACGUCUUUGCUGCAAAACCCGGCGAUAAAAAUAGGCGAGCUGCGAGAACGCUGAGUUUUUUUGGUUUUAAAAUGGAGCAAAACGAGCGUGCGGUGGGCCGCUCUGUUUGCGGUGUGGUUUAGGCCGAGGGAGGCUGGUCUCUGAGUCCCUGAGCCUUCGUCUCCCUCCCGGCCGCCCAAAAACGGAGCCGGUAGUUCCCCUGGCCACAAAAGGCUGGGAAAAAAACAGGAAAAAGGAAAAAAACUACCCUGCUUCCGGCUGGGGAGAGAAACGAGAGGAUCAGCCCAGUCCGGGUGCUGUCCCAAUAGGGAAUGACCACCGGCAGGAAUAGCUCAAAGAUCCUGCCAAGCCCCCUUUUUCCUCAUAAUAGCAAUGAGUGAUGGAAGACGGGGUGUAAAACGGGGGUAAAAUGGGCGAUUUUCACACUAGUGGUGAUCGUGGCUCGUGCAAAACAGAUAUAAAAAAAUAUGGGGAUCUGCAAGGGAGAAAUGAGGCGGA